UGAGGAAUAUUGCUCAAUGGCCGCAAGGCUGAAGCAGCAACGCCGCGUGAGGGAUGAAGGAUCUAUGGUCUGUAAACCUCUGUAGAGAAGGAAAAAUAACUCAUUAUAUGAGCUUGAUAGUACUUCUAGAGUAAGCCCCGGCUAACUACGUGCCAGCAGCCGCGGUAAUACGUAGGGGGCGAGCGUUGUCCGGAAUCACUGGGUGUAAAGGGUGCUCAGGCGGAUCGGUAAGUCAGAGGUGAAAUUUCACAGCUUAACUGUGAAUGUGCUUUUGAUACUGUCGGUCUAGAGUUCAGAAGAGGGCAAUGGAAUUCUUGGUGUAGCGGUGAAAUGCGUAGAUAUCAAGAAGAACACCAGUUGCGAAGGCGGUUGCCUGGUCUGUAACUGACGCUCAAGCACGAAAGCGUGGGGAUCAAACAGG
rnacentral:rRNA from 1 species